UUGAACGCUGGCGGCAUGCUUUACACCUGCAAGUCGAACGGCAGCGCGGGCUUCGGCCUGGCGGCGAGUGGCGAACGGGUGAGUAAUACAUCGGAACGUGCCCAGUAGUGGGGGAUAGCUCGGCGAAAGCCGGAUUAAUACCGCAUACGACCUGAGGGUGAAAGCGGGGGAUCUUCGGGCCUCGCGCUAUUGGAGCGGCCGAUGGCAGAUUAGCUAGUUGGUGGGGUAAAGGCCUACCAAGGCGACGAUCUGUAGCUGGUCUGAGAGGACGACCAGCCACACUGGGACUGAGACACGGCCCAGACUCCUACGGGAGGCAGCAGUGGGGAAUUUUGGACAAUGGGCGAAAGCCUGAUCCAGCAAUGCCGCGUGUGUGAUGAAGGCCUUCGGGUUGUAAAGCACUUUUGGCGGGAACGAAAAGGACUGUGCCAAUACCACGGUUCGAUGACGGUACCCGCAGAAUAAGCACCGGCUAACUACGUG
rnacentral:rRNA from 1 species